GACGAACCGAGCGAACGUUGUUCGGAAUCACUGGGCUUAAAGGGCGCGUAGGCGGGUCAUCAAGUCCGGGGUGAAAUCUUCCGGCUUAACCGGAAAAGGGCCUUGGAUACUGGUGAUCUGGAGGGAGGUAGGGGCAGCUGGAACUUCCGGUGGAGCGGUGAAAUGCGUUGAUAUCGGAAGGAACUCCGGUGGCGAAGGCGAGCUGCUGGACCUCUUCUGACGCUGAGGCGCGAAAGCUAGGGGAGCAAACGGG
rnacentral:rRNA from 1 species